rnacentral:rRNA from 1 species
UACAGAGGGUGCAAGCGUUGUUCGGAAUUAUUGGGCGUAAAGCGCGCGUAGGCGGUUACUUAAGUCGGAUGUGAAAGCCCUCGGCUUAACCGAGGAAGUGCAUCCGAAACUGAGUAGCUAGAGUACUAAAGAGGGUCGCGGAAUUCCCGGUGUAGAGGUGAAAUUCGUAGAUAUCGGGAGGAGCACCGGUGGCGAAGGCGGCGACCUGGGUAGAUACUGACGCUGAGGCGCGAAAGCGUGGGGAGCAAACAGGG